rnacentral:tmRNA from 1 species
GGGGGUGAAUUGGGCUCGACUUAGGCCGUCGGGUAAGAGCAGCAUGUCGCGGACGCAUGGUUAGCCGCGUUAAAAACCCGUGCACAAUACAAACGCAAACACAAAAAACCGUUUGUUAAAUAACGUUCAGCCAGUAAUGGCAACUCCAGUAAUGGGGAUGCCGUUAUUUGCUGGCGUUAUGCCAGUCUUCGGUAACUAAAUUACCGAAGCCUCUAUCCAUCCAGCCUACGGGAUGAAAUAGAGACUUAGUAGGAUAGUCCCGCGUAAUUUGCCUUUGUAGGCGGGAUGAAGCUUUUAAAGGCUGCGGUUUGCAAAUCCUGCCUUGCGGGAGUUGCAAGCGUAAGCGUAAAACACAGGGCUAAACAUGUAGCGGCUUUUAUUCGGUUGUUUAAGGACGCCGGUUCGAUUCCGGCCACCUCCACCA